CAGGAGGAAGGAAGAACUAGGGUUUACCCUUGUUCUCACCAAAUUCACCCAAUUGACUAGGAAAAAUCGAUGUUUAUCAACUGCAUGUAGUGAAAAUUCGAUCAUCUACUCAUACCCGGUGAAGUGGUGUGAAGGAAUAAAGUUCAAACUCUAAGAAACCGGAAGGAUCACAAGACCGAGGUAAAACUCCACUUUAGGCGAUUUGGAGAUAUGGAGCGAGCACAUGUUCAAGCCUUAUUAUACCAAGCGCUUCCGCUAGUUUAUAUGCAUACUUUUUGGGUCCAUGUCUUGUAGUUUUGUUUAAUCUUGUUAGAAGUCUACACUUGAAAACUUGUUGUCUUUGUUUGGGGUAGUUUAAAGUUAAAUGGAUCGUAGAUUGUCGUUAGUUUAAUAUCUUAUAAACAGGGGGCAUGCUCGUUUUACGAACGGGUCAUGCCCAAAUUUUCUAAGAAUUUCGUUAUGUAUUAAAUUUGGUAUUUUGAUGUCUUUAAA